rnacentral:rRNA from 1 species
CCUACGGGAGGCAGCAGUGGGGAAUAUUGCACAAUGGGCGAAAGCCUGAUGCAGCCAUGCCGCGUGUGUGAAGAAGGCCUUAGGGUUGUAAAGCACUUUCAGCGAGGAGGAAAGGUUAGUAAUUAAUACUUGCUAGCUGUGACGUUACUCGCAGAAGAAGCACCGGCUAACUCCGUGCCAGCAGCCGCGGUAAUACGGAGGGUGCGAGCGUUAAUCGGAAUUACUGGGCGUAAAGCGUGCGUAGGCGGCUGCCUAAGUUGGAUGUGAAAGCCCCGGGCUCAACCUGGGAACUGCAUCCAAAACUGGGCAGCUAGAGUGCGGAAGAGGAGUGUGGAAUUUCCUGUGUAGCGGUGAAAUGCGUAGAUAUAGGAAGGAACACCAGUGGCGAAGGCGACACUCUGGUCUGACACUGACGCUGAGGUACGAAAGCGUGGGGAGCAAACAGGAUUAGAUACCCUGG